rnacentral:misc_RNA from 1 species
CGAAAUGCGAUAAGUAAUGUGAAUUGCAGAAUUCAGUGAAUCAUCGAAUCUUUGAACGCACCUUGCGCUCCUUGGUAUUCCGAGGAGCAUGCCUGUUUGAGUGUCAUGGAAUUCUCAACUCUAUUUGCUUUUGUGAAUAGAGCUUGGAUUUGGAGGUUUAUUGCUGGUACUUGUGAUCGGCUCCUCUUGAAUGCAUUAGCUCGAACCUUUGCGGAUCAGCUAUCGGUGUGAUAAUUGUCUACGCCGUUGCAGUGAAGCAUAUCAAUGGGCUCGGCUUCCAAUCGUCCUUUACUGGACAAUGACUUUGACCUUUGACCUCAAAUCAGGUAGGAUUACCCGCUGAACUUAAGA